GACAGAGGGUGCAAACGUUGUUCGGAUUUACUGGGCGUAAAGCGCGUGUAGGCGGCUUUGCAAGUCGGAUGUGAAAUCCCACGGCUCAACCGUGGAAGUGCAUCCGAAACUGCAUCGCUGGAGUCUCGGAGAGGAGGGUGGAAUGCUUGGUGUAGAGGUGAAAUUCGUAGAUAUCAAGCAGAACACCUGCGGCGAAGGCGGCCUUCUGGACGAUGACUGACGCUGAGACGCGAAAGCGUGGGGAGCAAACAGG
rnacentral:rRNA from 1 species